UAGGGCUAAUACACGUUUGAGGUCUUUUGACCGCGUUUAUUAGUUUGAAACCCGCCUUGGCUUUCGGUGAUUCAUAAUAAACUGGCGAAUCGCAUUUAGCGAUGGACCAUUCAAGUUUCUGACCCAUCAGCUUGACGGUAGGGUAUUGGCCUACCGAGGCAGCAACGGGUAACGGGGAAUUAGGGUUCGAUUCCGGAGAGGGAGCCUGAGAGACGGCUACCACAUCUAAGGAAGGCAGCAGGCGUGCAAAUUACCCAAUCCUGACACAGGGAGGUAGUGACAAGAAAUAACAAUACAGGGCGAAUGUCUUGUAAUUGGAAUGAUGGUGACCCAAACCCUCACCAGAGUAGCAAUUGGAGGGCAAGUCUGGUGCCAGCAGCCGCGGUAAUUCCAGCUCCAAUAGCGUAUAUUAAACUUGUUGCAGUUAAAAAGCUCGUAGUUGUAUUUUUGCGUUAGCGGUUUGACCAUUUGGUUGGUUAUUUCGUUUUCGCUUUUGGGAAUUUCCCUUUUUACUUUGAGAAAAUUAGAGUGUUUCAAGCAGACUUUUGUCUUGAAUACUUCAACAUGGAAUAAUAGAGUAGGACUUUGGUUCUAUUUUGUUGGUUAUUGAACCUUAGUAAUGGUUAAUAGGAACGGUUGGGGGCAUUCGUAUUUAACUGUCAGAGGUGAAAUUCUUAGAUUUGUUAAAGACGAACUACUGCGAAAGCAUUUG
rnacentral:rRNA from 1 species